rnacentral:rRNA from 1 species
GCAUAACGCGAAGAACCUUACCAAGGCUUGACAUCCCCUUGACCAGUGCAGAGAUGUACUCUCUCCUUCGGGAGCAAGGGUGACAGGUGGUGCAUGGUUGUCGUCAGCUCGUGUCGUGAGAUGUUGGGUUAAGUCCCGCAACGAGCGCAACCCUUAUCCUUAGUUGCCAGCAGGUAAAGCUGGGCACUCUAAGGAGACUGCCGAUGAUAAAUCGGAGGAAGGUGGGGAUGACGUCAAAUCAUCAUGCCCCUUAUGUCUUGGGCUACACACGUGCUACAAUGGUCGGUACAAAGGGGUAGCGAAGGAGUGAUCUGGAGCAAAUCCCAAUAAACCGAUCUCAGUUCGGAUUGUAGGCUGCAACUCGCCUACAUGAAGUCGGAGUUGCUAGUAAUCGCGAAUCAGAACGUCGCGGUGAAUGCGUUCCCGGGUCUUGUACAC